rnacentral:lncRNA from 1 species
ACCCAUAACGUCUGAAGUUCCACAAUGGAGGCCUCAUCUCUUAGCCAGAAGCUGGAAUGACUGACAUCUGGUGCUGGGCCCUGUGACUGACAGGGCAUCUAGUGCUGGGUCCUGUGAUUGACAGGGCAUCCAGUGCUGGACACUGUGGUAGGCAGGACAUCCAGUGCUGGGCCCUGUGAUUGACAGGGCAUCCAGUGCUGUGUCCUAUGGAAGGCAGGACAUCCAGUGCUGGCCCCUGUGAUUGACAGGACAUCCAGUGCUAUGCCCUAUGGCAAGUGGGGGUGGGGGUGGGGUGGGAAGGCUGGUUUUGACAGAAAAGAUGUAACCUGAGCCCUGAAAAUGGAAGGUUUUCAGGGACAUGGUGGUGGGGAGAGCAGUGAAUGGAGGAGCCAGAGUUAAACCAAGUUGGCUAAGGGUAGUUUUGCAGAGUUCUAGCAACUAAUCCUAACACGUUAUUAGGUGUCCACUUAUUAAUGAAAAUGUCUCACACACUCAGUCUGAUCGCAGUAUCAGUGAGGUGAUUGAAAUAGUUGCAUUAGGCAGCUAAAUCCAUAAUCAUUGGCCUCUCCACCGUAGGGGAGCUUGGCUAAUCCUAACAUUAGCAGGUCGCAGGACCUCAUCAACAGAGCCUGCUGCAGAGUGAGGGAUGCUGUUUUCAGGAUGCCAAGGAGACCUGGGGAGCUCUGGGGGAUGGACACGCUCAUUCUUACUGUAAAGAUCCCCUGAGAACAGCGGGCUGUUAAAGGAUCAGUGUGGAACUUGCCUUACAGUCUAAAAGGCAGCAUAUUUCCUGGUUAUAAUA